AUUGAACGCUGGCGGCAGGCCUAACACAUGCAAGUCGAGCGAGCGGCGGAUGGGUGAGUAAUGUCUGGGAAACUGCCUGCUGGUGGGGGAUAACUACUGGAAACGGUAGCUAAUACCGCAUACCAUCGGAUGUGCCCAGAUGGGAUUAGCUAGUAGGUGGGGUAACGGCUAACCUAGGCGACGAUCCCUAGCUGGUCUGAGAGGAUGACCAGCCACACUGGAACUGGAACACGGUCCAGACUCCUACGGGGGGCAGCAGGGGGGAAUAUUGAACAAUGGGCGCAAGCCUGAUGCAGCCAUGCCGCGUGUAUGAAGAAGGCCUUCGGGUUGUAAAGUACUUUCAGCGGGGAGGCGUUACCCGCAGAAGAAGCACCGGCUAACUCCGUGCCAGCAGCCGCGUAAUAC
rnacentral:rRNA from 1 species